AGGUGACUCCAAUUGAACCGCAGGCUUCAUCCCUUGUGGUGCUCCCCCGCCAAUUCCUUUAAGUUCAUACUUGCGUACGUACUUCCCAGGCGGCAGACUUAACGGCUUCCCUGCGGCACUGCAUUGGCCACAAGCCAAUGCAUCACCGAGUCUGCAUCGUUUACAGCUGGGACUACCCGGGUAUCUAAUCCGGUUUGCUCCCCCAGCUUUCAUCCCUCACCGUCGAACGUGUUCUGGUACACCGCCUUCGCCACAGGUGGUCUUCAAUAGAUCAAAGGAUUUUACCCCUUCCUAUCGAGUACCGUGUACCUCUCCCACUCCCUAGCUGCACAGUAUUUUCGGCGGCCUAUACGUUAAGCGCAUAGAUUUAACCGAAAACUUAUGCAACCGGCUACGGAUGCUUUAGGCCCAAUAAACCUCCUGACCACUCGAGGUGCUGGUUUUACCGCGGCGGCUGACACCAGAACUUGCCCACCCCUUAUUCACCAGUGAUUCUACAACUGACAAAAGACUCCUUUAGCAGGAGACACUCGGAUUAACCUUGUCGUGCUUUCGCACAUUGCAAAGGUUUCUCGCCUGCUGCGCCCCAUAGGGCCUGGGUCCGGUCUCAUACCAUCUCGGGCCCCUCUCUCAAGCCCGACUGUUUAGCUUGUGGGCAUUACUCACAAAAGU
rnacentral:rRNA from 1 species